ACUGAGCAGGUGGGGUGCGGCACAGGGGGCCCGGAAGGAGAAAGGAGAGGAGAUGAGGGCUGAGUGGCUCCGCAUGUAGUACAGUAGUGCGUUCUUCCCUUCGAUUUCCUACAGACCUACAUACUAUUCGUAGUCGCCCCCUUUUAUCGAGCUGUGAUGCAGAUGCUUGCGCAUUGGCUUUGGCUUCAGAGGGAUCGACCAAGAAAAUGAAGAGCACAAGAUCGAAGACUGCCAACGUGCGCGGGCUCCUCUGUUCAAGCAGUUAUCGUCUUCCGCUGAUAAGCAGCAAGCGUGGUGACUGAGACGGACGGGAGGAAGUUUGGAGGCUCCAGACAAGGCGACAAGUGAGUACCUUCAAUUUGUUUGUUGUUUCAGUGGGAUUACCCGCGGAACUCGUUGUAAUGUUAAAUUUCUGACUGGUAUGCAGUUCGAUGUGUAUGUGCCGUGGGGCAGAAGGAUCCGCCUCUUGGCCUGGUUGCAGCGGGAGAUCUCUAUUGGGAAAUUGAGAAUUUUCCGUAGUGUGUGCGGAAGUGUCGUUCUUCUGAAUCGAGCGAAGGGAGUUAUAAAGGAAGAUCUUGCCCUAUUCUUUGAGUUGAAGCUUGGUUUCCCAAUGUUAACCUAGAUCUGCAAGAACACGAUCUUGCAGUUUUGGACUUCGUCACAAUAUAUCACCAAAAUUAAUCAAGUUCUUGUAUUUGGAGAUAGAGAGGCACAAUCCAGGCUCCGCGCUCUAGAGAAAUUGAAGACCUUCUGGGGUUCUUAUCCAUGGAGCAGCAGCAGAGCUUCGAGGAGAGGACGAGCAAAGACAGCCCCUAGAAG
rnacentral:lncRNA from 1 species